rnacentral:rRNA from 1 species
AUACGGAGGGUGCGAACGUUAAUCGGAAUUACUGGGCGUAAAGCGCGCGUAGGCGGUUUGGUCAGUCGGAUGUGAAAGCCCUAGGCUCAACCUGGGAAUUGCAUUCGAUACUGCCUGACUAGAGUAUGGUAGAGGGAAGUGGAAUUUCCGGUGUAGCGGUGAAAUGCGUAGAUAUCGGAAGGAACACCAGUGGCGAAGGCGACUUCCUGGGCCAAUACUGACGCUGAGGUGCGAAAGCGUGGGGAGCAAACAGGAUUAGAAACCCCAGUAGUCC